rnacentral:rRNA from 1 species
AUACGUAGGUGGCAAGCGUUGUCCGGAUUUACUGGGUGUAAAGGGCGUGUAGGCGGAGAUGCAAGUCAGGAGUGAAAUCUAGGGGCUCAACCCCUAAACUGCUUUUGAAACUGUAUCCCUUGAGUAUCGGAGAGGCAGGGGGAAUUCCCAGGGGAGCGGGGAAAUGCGUAGAGAUCGGGAGGAACACCAGUGGCGAAGGCGACUUACUGGACUGUAACUGACGCUGAGGCGCGAAAGUGUGGGGAGCAAACAGGAUUAGAUACCCUGGUAGUCCACACUGUAAACGAUGAAUGCUAGGUGUAGGGGGUAUCGACCCCUUCUGUGCCGCAGUCAACACAAUAAGCAUUCCGCCUGGGGAGUACGGCCGCAAGGUUGAAACUCAAAUGAAUUGACGGGG